rnacentral:rRNA from 1 species
AACGUAGGUGGCAAACGUUAUCCGGAUUUACUGGGCGUAAAGAGUGCGUAGGUGGUUAUUUAAGUCAGAUGUAAAAUCUCCUGGCUCAACUGGGAGGGACCAUCUGAUACUGGAUAGCUGGAGUACAGCAGAGGAAAGUGGAAUUCCCGGUGUAGUGGUGGAAUGCGUAGAUAUCGGGAGGAACACCAGUGGCGAAAGCGGCUUUCUGGGCUGUUACUGACACUGUUGCACAAAAGCGUGGGGAGCAAACAGGAUUAGAUACCCUGGUAGUCCACGCUGUAAACUAUGAACACUGGGUACAGGGAGUAUCGACCCUCUCUAUGCCGAAGCUAACGCGUUAAGUGUUCCGUCUGGGGACUACGGCCGCAAGGUUA